rnacentral:rRNA from 1 species
CCUACGGGAGGCAGCAGUGGGGAAUAUUGGACAAUGGGGGCAACCCUGAUCCAGCCAUGCCGCGUGUGUGAAGAAGGCCCUCGGGUUGUAAAGCACUUUCAGUGAGGAAGAACGCCUGGUGGUUAAUACCCAUCAGGAAAGACAUCACUCACAGAAGAAGCACCGGCUAACUCCGUGCCAGCAGCCGCGGUAAUACGGAGGGUGCGAGCGUUAAUCGGAAUUGCUGGGCGUAAAGCGCGCGUAGGUGGCUUGAUAAGCCGGUUGUGAAAGCCCCGGGCUCAACCUGGGAACGGCAUCCGGAACUGUCAAGCUAGAGUGCAGGAGAGGAAGGUAGAAUUCCCGGUGUAGCGGUGAAAUGCGUAGAGAUCGGGAGGAAUACCAGUGGCGAAGGCGGCCUUCUGGACUGACACUGACACUGAGGUGCGAAAGCGUGGGUAGCAAACAGGAUUAGAUACCCCAGUAGUC